UAUGUACUCCCUCCGUCCCAAAAUACUUGUCGGAGAAAUGAAUAAAAAUGGAUGUAUCUAAAACUAAGAUAUAUCUAGAUACAUCCAUUCCUUCGACAAGUAUUUUCGGACGGAGGGAGUAUGUC
rfam:Triticum aestivum genome assembly, contig: Triticum_aestivum_CS42_TGACv1_scaffold_404160_5BL